rnacentral:rRNA from 1 species
AGUGAACGCUGGCGGUAGGCCUAACACAUGCAAGUCGAACGGCAGCACAGGAGAGCUUGCUCUCUGGGUGGCGAGUGGCGGACGGGUGAGGAAUACAUCGGAAUCUACCUUUUCGUGGGGGAUAACGUAGGGAAACUUACGCUAAUACCGCAUACGACCUACGGGUGAAAGUGGGGGACCGCAAGGCCUCACGCGAUUAGAUGAGCCGAUGUCCGAUUAGCUAGUUGGCGGGGUAAUGGCCCACCAAGGCGACGAUCGGUAGCUGGUCUGAGAGGAUGAUCAGCCACACUGGAACUGAGACACGGUCCAGACUCCUACGGGAGGCAGCAGUGGGGAAUAUUGGACAAUGGGCGCAAGCCUGAUCCAGCCAUACCGCGUGGGUGAAGAAGGCCUUCGGGUUGUAAAGCCCUUUUGUUGGGAAAGAAAUCCUGUCGAUUAAUACUCGGUGGGGAUGACGGUACCCAAAGAAUAAGCACCGGCUAACUUCGUGCCAGCCGCCGCCGUAAGAC